GGGCGGCACAUCAUGUUGGGGUGUGUAGUAAUAAGUUUCAUGAAAAGAGAGAUGGGAGUAUGAAUAAAGAUCCUUAGAUCUUCAUAUUGCUUCUCCUCCAUUGAUCAAUAAGUCGCGUUCACCUUGGAUCUUCAUAAAAGUGAUCUUUUAAUCCGAGUCCUUGAUAUUUAAGUCGUAUUCACAUUUAAUUCUAUUUAUCUUUUAAUUUGGGUCCUUGAUUGGAGAGGUUGCUUCUUGACCAUUGAUGAGUAAGUCGCGUUCACAGUUAAAUAAGAGCUGGUUAUCUGGUUCACUCAAAUCUGAUCUGAUUUAAGUCCAAUUUGAAUUGUAUAAAUC
rnacentral:lncRNA from 1 species